UACGAAGGGGGCGGGCGUUGUUCGGAAUUACUGGGCGUAAAGCGUGCGUAGGCGGAGUUGCAAGUUGGUAGUGAAAUCCCCGGGCUCAACCCGGGAAUUGCUUUCAAAACUACGGAGCUUGAAUCUCGGAGAGGAUAGCGGAAUUCCCAGUGUAGAGGUGAAAUUCGUAGAUAUUAGGAGGAACACCAGUGGCGUAAGCGGCUAUCUGGACGAGUAUUGACGCUGAGGCACGAAAGCGUGGGGAUCAAACAGG
rnacentral:rRNA from 1 species